GACGAACGCUGGCGGCGUGCUUAACACAUGCAAGUCGAACGGUAAGGCCCUUCGGGGUACACGAGUGGCGAACGGGUGAGUAACACGUGGGUGAUCUGCCCUGCACUUCGGGAUAAGCCUGGGAAGCUGGGUCUAAUACCGGAUAGGACUCCGGACUGCAUGGUCGGGGGUGGAAAGCUUUUGCGGUGUGGGAUGGGCCCGCGGCCUAUCAGCUUGUUGGUGGGGUGAUGGCCUACCAAGGCGACGACGGGUAGCCGGCCUGCGAGGGUGACCGGCCACACUGGGACUGAGAUACGGCCCAGACUCCUACGGGAGGCAGCAGUGGGGAAUAUUGCACAAUGGGCGCAAGCCUGAUGCAGCGACGCCGCGUGAGGGAUGACGGCCUUCGGGUUGUAAACCUCUUUCAGCAUCGACGAAGCGAAAGUGACGGUAGGUGCAGAAGAAGGACCGGCCAACUACGUGCCAGCCGCCGCAGUAA
rnacentral:rRNA from 1 species